UAGUGCUUAAGAAGGAGGAGAUGCAGGAUAGGAAUGGACUGGGCAGUUCUGUUGCAGUGAGUUCCGUGCUAAAGAACUGUUUCUUUAUCACUGCCCGUUAUGCUACUGAGUAGUUGUGAAAAAUGGACUGUUAUCCCCUAUCUAUCAUCUCCAGAUCAUGCAUAGUUGUAUAAAGAAUUUACUCCUUUGGCCAUCCCUUUAAUGGCAUCUCUUCAAGAGAUCUUCAGGCAUGUCCAAUUUUCAGUAUGCUCAGCAAUGGAUGGCCCAUCGUGAGCUCACCCUGAUAGAAAUACAGCAAUGCAAAAAAACAGGGAGGUCAAAGGAAGUACCGUAUGUGCCUUGCCUUGAUUGCAACAGAGUUUCUGCCAGUUUGCUCUCCAUUUCCUACCACAGCGGUUGGUCACGUAUUGUUCUGUUCUGAAUUACAGUUCCAACCUGCUGGCGAGCAGCUUUCAAGAACAAAGAAGUGCUGCCCCAUGGAGCUGAGAUACCAUCAGUUGGCUCUUGGUGCGGCGAAGGCUCCCACUCAACUCGGAGUUGUUCACCAUCACGUUUUAAUCAAAAUGCAAACUGGUUGAUUUUAGAGAUGAACGCUGGGAGAGGACAUUGGAUAAAGCUUCAAAAAAUAAAUGAGUUUUUCUGCGGAGGCUUCCAGCAGUGAGGAGCACCAUUACUUUGAGCCGAACGCUGCCGUUCAAUGCAUAGAGGACUAUGCACAAGCUAUCCCACACAGAGUGUUGUGCAUUAAUGGAUAACAUUUAUGAUCUUUGUCUCAGUAUGUAACUUUUCUGUGCUUUGAGAGGUUCUUACAAAGAUGUCUGGUGAUAGUAUUGCACGUGCUAUAUGAAAACGAAAGUUGCAUAUCACGAAGUUGACCCCCCAAACCCAUAUGGGACCUCAGGUGUUCUCUGCAGACACUCUGCAUUUCAAAGACAGCCCAACAAAACAAAACCAGCCCCAAACCAUUCCGGAGUGGAAAAGUAGGGCGUGCAUUAAUUAGUGACCUUAAAGCACAAUGGAAAACUAACGGGGCAAUGCCAAGUCAGAGUAUGAGAAAUUCUGGGAUAUUAAUGGUGUUUGCCUCUGAUCUCAUGCAUUGAAGAACACAUCUAUUCUCACCUCCCAGAGGACAAGGCUAGAGCUCUUUGACGUUCUCAGGUUCAGUGGACUUUAAUUAGUGUUAUUCUUGCAAAUUUAGAAAAUCAGCUGACAGCUCUCAUGAGUGCCAUAUAGGAGGACUGGAAGGAGGUAAAUGUAGUACCUGUCUUGAAACUAGAAGGUAUGAGAGAAUUACAGCUAGCUGAUUUAGCCUAAAUUCCCAGAAAAAAAGUAUUAAAUUCAGAAAAAUUAUUUUAGAAUAAAUCCUAGCAGUGAGAUAAUUGCAGAGGAGUUCCCUGUUCGUUGUACGGGAAUUGGACCAGACGACCUUUAAGGGUCUCUUCCAACUCAAAUGAUUUUAUGAGGAGGUAAAGCUGGGUGGAAACCAGCAUUAGGAUUAGAUACUGACUGCUGUUGGAAUGAAAGGGUGUUUCAGCUGGGUUUCUAAAAGAGUUUGAUGCUAGCUGGUGUUUUCCCUAAUGGCUUGUGCGAUAGAUUGGGCAGGAACACUAAUCAGAUUUGGAGACAGCAUGGAGAUGGAGGUCUUUGCAUAUAUAGUUAGGAGAAUCAUUGAAUGGCUUGGAUUGGAAAGGACCUCAGCGACCAUUUGGUUCCAAAAGGAGUCAGGAGAAGUGGACUGAAGAAAGCAAAAUGCAGCUCAGUGAGAGCUAAGUUCAACAUCUGGGCAAGAUAAUAAAACCUGAAGACAGUGAGUGAGAACAAGUGAUGAGGCAGCAUGAAAAGUAUCUCAAGGUUUUAAUGGGCUGUAAGCUGAACCUCAGUCAGCCACGCCAUGCUGUAAUGAAGAAGAGAGGUGUGCUAGCAGGUGUAGGGUGCUAACAGAAGAGCUUUCUUUGUGAGCUGUGAAGAUAGAUCCUCUUGGUGUUGGUAAAGCAUCUGUUGAAGGUCGGUGUCCAGUUUUGGUCACCGUGUUUCAAAAUGAUGGAUGGGCUCCAAUGUGGAGUCCGUAGGAGUGUGUGAGAAUGGUGGGAGGCCACAAAAAUGUGGCCCAUGAGGAAAGAUUUGCAGAAUUGAGGCUGGAAGAGAAUUUAUACUGUAGGCCAUUCCAGCUCAUUUUCCCCAUCUGGUUUGCUAUUCUGUUCUGCAGCUUGGGAGGACAGUGCCUUGCUGUUUAAUUAUUCCAGCUGGGAAAAUAGUAAAUUAUUUCCUUCUAUGAAUUACUUACAUUCCUGGGAGAACAGGUUCCUGUCUAAUAUUUCUGGCAUCCUACCAUUUGCCCACAGAGGGGAAUGUUGCAGGGACCUGUCCUGGCAGGUCUGUUGAACCAGCAGUUAGGAGUUUGCAGGGCAGGGAUACCUACCCAUUCCAGGAGCAAAGUACUGGCUAGGUGUGGAAGUUGUAAGCUGACACUAGAUGAGCUCCUUUGAGAGCCUCUAACAAACUGGUGAGGCAGCAGUACAGAGGGAAACAAAUUGGGUUAAAAUGACAGCAUGUUUAGCUUCAUUACAUGACUCUGAUGGAACCUCACCCUAUAUGCUUCAUUCAUUUCUGAGCACUUUGCCAACAGAAAGAUAAUAAUGCUCUGGAUUGCAGUAGCCCUGUCUCAUCCAAACAUCUUAAAGUGAUUUUACCUAUAUUAACUAAGCCUCAAAAGGCACUGUCAAGAUUUGUAUAGCCUAUGCAGGGAGGACUUUACUAACCACUUGCUUAGCAGCUGCCUUCAGCACUACACAACAUUUAAGAGGGCACAAAGAAGGCAGAUUUUACUUGAAAAUGUUGGAAAAUUUGGGUAAAAUACACAUAAUGAUCUUAUGGAUUAUUGUGUUAUUGUUCUGAGCACAACUCUAAAGGUCUUGCAUCAUGAAUAAUACAUUUUAUCCCAAUUCCUUGGAGUAGAAUCACAGAAUCAUAGAACCAUUUGAGUUGGAGUCUUGUAGACGUUUGUUUGAUGGAAGAAUAGUGUUGUAUUGGAUAAAAUAGUGACAUGUAGGUCUUUGGGAAGAGGAUGUUUGCACGAACCUAACAAGUGUGGCAUACUGCAUAGCAGUGAGAUGUCUGACUUUCCUGGGCAUUGUGGAAGAAAGCAAUGCUAGAAUGUCAUGUGCGACCCAGAGGGGUGUGAAAAAUUGUCUAUGCUGUACAUUAUUUCCUCGAUUAAAAGGGAAAAAGAACAACAACAAAUAUGGUGGGUUGUUAAGUCUGUGUGUUGAGGAGCCAGUUGGAGAAGCAGAAGAGCAUGGCUAUGAGGGCAUGACUUGAAUUUAUAUUUGAAAUGUGGCAGUGUGGUUAAUUCUCCCCCUCACCUUAUGAAGAGUGACACGGUGUCUUUGACAAACAGAAUGGACUUUGCUUUUAGCCCUUAAUGUCAGCAGUAUCCUGUUGUUAGGGCCACGUUGGGGCAUUGAUUCAAUGGUGACUCAUACAAAGGAGCAGCGCCUCACAGCACUGCUUCCUAUGGCACAGAAUGAUGCCAUUUGUGGUGAUUUCUUUGUACUUGUGGUAUUCCAACCUAUUUCAGCCAUGCGUAGCUUUUCAGAGCUGCCACUUUGCUUUAAAAUCUCAGCUGAGUGGAGAAACGUCUCAGAAAUGCGGCGUUGGCCGUGCUCACAGAUGUACAAGGGAAGGGUUUUAUUUGUACCUCUCGCUUAAUCUGCUUUAUCUCCAUAAUUAAUCUCUUUGUAUUUCAAGCUAAUGAUUUUCGAGGUGCAGGAGAGCAGGGAGAGGUGUGUGUGACCCAAAUUGUAAAGCUCAGGCUGAGUAACGCUGAGGACAUGGCCACAAACAGCAAAUCCUAUCUGCUUGCGAGUUACCUCCGUUGACUUAACCAUGGCUUAUGGACACUGACCUACCCAACAGUAGUGCCACAUUCAAAACAACCAUUUUUUUUUCUUACUUUCCAAUGGACAGAAAGAGUCAUCUUCCAAAGUGUCUGCAUGGGUGAGGAGUUAUGGAGCAUUUUGCAUCUCUAAUUGUUUGGUCUAUAAGCAGGACAGAGAAGUGCAAAUAAAUAUCUUCAGUGCUUUGAGUCCCUGCCUUCUAAAGGCUAAAUACGUAUUGGCUUUUUUGAAAUUCCAUUUAUUUUUAUGAUGAUGAUGAUUUUAAUCUUUACGCCUUUUAAAUCGUAAUACAAAGAUUACUGCAGGACUUUGACGGGUUGGUGGUUGGACUCAGUGAUCUUAGAGGUCUUUUCCAACCUUAAUGAUUCUGUGAGUGGGUGUGGUGGUCAUGGGUUGGCGGUUGGAUCUGAUGAUCUUAGAGGUCUUUUCCAACCUUAAUGAUCCUAUGGUUCUAUGAUUCUGGCUUCGAAUCCAGCUGGACUCUAACUCCAAGGCUCCUUUUGGUUCUAUAGUGAACCAAUUAUCAAUAUUUUAUAAAGGACUUGAAAUACUGUUUUGGAGGCUGCAUCUCCCUCUCCUUGGUCUUUGAACAGCCUAUGAAACCAGGUGAUGGGGGUGAUUCCAUGGUCAGAAGUAGUUCUGAAUGACACCACCUCUUGUGUUAAAUUACUGCAGUUUGCAGUCAAAAAGUCCACUCAGUUGCUGUGGUUACUGUUUAGUUU